GGAUCUGACAAGAGAUUGGGACUUAAGUUGUUUCACUGUGGUUUUCAAGUUCAACAAACCACAUAUUUUAUCACAUUACUUAUACGGACGCAAAUGGGUGUACUUUUGGGUAAUCGGAAGCAACCUAAUAUUGCGAUGCACGUGGACAUACAAGUUGUCUGCCCAUCUCCGACACAAUUACCUCACAGUAUUCACAAUAACUGCUCUUGAGAUGUUCCGUCGUUUCCAGUGGGUUUUCUUCCGUGUAGAAAAUGAGUGGAACAAGAUAAGCAACAACAAAUCAUCAAAUACUCAACUCUACUUGGGUGAUCAACAAGAUAAAGAAGAAGAAUUCCUCAUCAACUCCAAUGGUCACAAUGUAUAGCCAACCAUAUAUCCAUUCCAUAUUUGCAAACAAUAAUAUCUUACUUGUCAAUACUAUAUACAAGGGUACAUAGAGCUAACAUACUACACAAUUAGGUAGGAUAUGAUAUGAUACAUUGACAAGUUUUAUUUAAUGCGUGCUUAAGUUUUUCUUUGUCUUGUAGGGCUUUCUAUUCUAUGCUUCUUUUUGGAAGCUAUUUCAUUUAUUUUCAUAAAUA
rnacentral:misc_RNA from 1 species